CAAUAGCGUAUAUUAAAGUUGUUGCGGUUAAAAAGCUCGUAGUUGGAUUUCUGCCGAGGACGACCGGUCCGCCCUCCGGGUGAGUAUCUGGCUCGGCCUGGGCAUCUUCUUGGAGAACGUAACUGCACUUGGCUGUGUGGUGCGGUAUUCAGGACUUUUACUUUGAGGAAAUUAGAGUGUUUCAAGCAGGCACACGCCUUGAAUACAUUAGCAUGGAAUAAUAAGAUAGGACCUCGGUUCUAUUUUGUUGGUUUCUAGAUCUGAGGUAAUGAUUAAUAGGGAUAGUUGGGGGCAUUCGUAUUUAACUGUCAGAGGUGAAAUUCUUGGAUUUAUGAAAGACGAACUUCUGCGAAAGCAUUUGCCAAGGAUGUUUUCAUUAA
rnacentral:rRNA from 1 species